GGGGAUAACGUAGACGAAAGUUACGCUAAUACCGCAUAUUCUGUGAGCAGGAAAGCAGGGGAUCGCAAGACCUUGCGCUGAUUGAGCGGCCGAUAUCAGAUUAGCUAGUUGGUGAGGUAAAGGCUCACCAAGGCGACGAUCUGUAGCGGGUCUGAGAGGAUGAUCCGCCACACUGGAACUGAGACACGGUCCAGACUCCUACGGGAGGCAGCAGUGGGGAAUUUUGGACAAUGGGCGCAAGCCUGAUCCAGCCAUGCCGCGUGAGUGAAGAAGGCCUUCGGGUUGUAAAGCUCUUUCGGCCGGGAAGAAAUCGCACGGGUUAAUACCCUGUGUGGAUGACGGUACCGGAAUAAGAAGCACCGGCUAACUACGUG
rnacentral:rRNA from 1 species